CUUUUCACAUACAUGCUUCUGCAAUCGAAGAUGGCUUGCCGAUAGGCAUGUUUGUAAAUAUCUCGUUUACUUUUUCUUAAAAUAUUAUUAUUAUGGUGUCAAUAAAUAUCAAGUAUCGAGUUGAAGUGCUGAGAAUUCUACUACUGAUCUACCAAUGCGUAAUGGAGUUUAACUUGUAAAUUAAUUAUAUCAGUUUUUAUGCUUAAAAACACAUCUGCGAAAAAUGGCUUAUUCCAAUGGCAAAAUAAAACUUGUUACCUGUUAAAA